rnacentral:rRNA from 1 species
CCCUUAGAUGUUCUGGGCGGCCCGCGCACUACAUUGGCACUAGCAAAGAGAUCCUAGAUUGAAUUCUUUGGGGUAUUCUUCUAAAUGGUGUCGUGACUGGGAUAAAUCCUUGUAAUUAUUGGUUUUGAACGAGGAAUUCCUUGUAAUCGCGGUUUAUCAGCUCGCGUUGAAUGCGUCCCUGCCCUUUGUACACACCGCCCGUCGCUCCUACCGGUGGAUCGUCCGGUGAAGCUCACGGAGUGACUGUUCACGCAACGGUUUACGAAGUGAAAUGGACCUCACGAUUUAGAGGAAGGAGAAGUCGUAACA